rnacentral:rRNA from 1 species
UGGGGAAUUUUGGACAAUGGACGCAAGUCUGAUCCAGCCAUUCCGCGUGCAGGACGAAGGCCUUCGGGUUGUAAACCGCUUUCAGCAGGAACGAAAAUGACGGUACCUGCAGAAGAAGGAGCGGCCAACUUCGUGCCAGCAGCCGCGGUAAUACGAAGGGGGCUAGCGUUGUUCGGAAUCACUGGGCGUAAAGCGCUCGUAGGCGGAUCUUUAAGUCAGAGGUGAAAUCCCAAGGCUCAACCUUGGAACUGCCUUUGAUACUGGGGAUCUCGAGUCCGGGAGAGGUGAGUGGAACUGCGAGUGUAGAGGUGAAAUUCGUAGAUAUUCGCAAGAACACCAGUGGCGAAGGCGGCUCACUGGCCCGGUACUGACGCUGAGGAGCGAAAGCGUGGGGAGCAAACAGG